rnacentral:rRNA from 1 species
GCCAAACAGCUAGCUCAACCACCUAAUAACUAAACAAUGUAUAUAAAACAAAAUAAGCCUAACACCAAAAAUUAAACCAUUCUUUUACCUUAGUAUGGGAGACAGAAAAGGUCACACCUGGAGCAAUAGAAAUAGUACCGCAAGGGAAAGCUGAAAGAGAAAUGAAACAACUUAUAUAAGCACAAAAAAGCAAAGAUUAAAUCUUGUACCUUUCGCAUCAUGAUUUAGCCAGUAUACCCAAGCAAAGAGACCUUUAGUUUGAAACCCCGAAACCAGAUGAGCUACCCCGAGACAGCCUAUUAAGGGCCAACCCGUCUCUGUGGCAAAAGAGUGGGAAGAGCUCCGGGUAGAGGUGACAAAUCUACCGAACCUGGUGAUAGCUGGUUGCCUAAGAAGUGAAUAGAAGUUCAGCCUCGUGCUCCCCUAAUCGAAAGAUAUAGAAAAGAUGCUAAAGGGCAAUACACGAGAGUUAGUUGAAGGGGGUACAGCCCCUUUAACAAAGGACACAACCUUUCCAGGAGGAUAAAGAUCAUAAUACAUAAAACAUCCUGUUCUAGUGGGCCUAAAAGCAGCCACCUAAACAGAAAGCGUUAAAGCUCAGACAGAAGCAAGUUUAUUAUUCCGACAAGAAAUCUUACUCCCCUAAGUUCUAUUAGGCCAGCCCAUGCUCGCAUGGGAGAGACUAUGCUAAAAUGAGUAACAAGAAGGCCUGCCCUUCUCCGAGCACAGCUGUAAGCCAAAUCGGACCAACCAUUGGCAAUUAACGAACUCAACCCAAGAGAGCAAUGUGGAUUAUAAUAAGACCGAGAAGAACCCACAGCAAUUCAUCGUUACCCCCACACUGGCGUGCUAUUAAAGGAAAGACUAAAAGAAGGGGAAGGAACUCGGCAAACACAAGCCUCGCCUGUUUACCAAAAACAUCGCCUCCUGCAACGCAACCAAGUAUAGGAGGUCCAGCCUGCCCAGUGACGAUAAGUUUAACGGCCGCGGUAUUUUGACCGUGCAAAGGUAGCGUAAUCACUUGUCUCUUAAAUGGAGACCUGUAUGAAUGGCCAAACGAGGGCUUAACUGUCUCCCCCUUCCAGUCAGUGAAAUUGAUCUAUCCGUGCAGAAGCGGG